GGCAAGCAACACAACACAAGAACGGCUGGGGAAGAUAGCAGCGGGCUGGAGCGGUUUUGGAGAGAACGGGAUGAGAGUGCAGCAGAUAUUGGAAGGAGAAGGAGAGACCGACAUCCAAAGCAGCUGUUACAGUGACUAUAGGUGGCCCGCCACCAAAAAAUGCCAUCACCCAGAGUACUGCAGCACAUCACAGGUGUCGGGCAGAGUUCAGAGCUGUACCCGCUCAUUAACAGGAGGAGCUGCACACACUGCUGCUCAAAUGGGAAAAAGGGUUUGCAAAACAUGAUGAGGAUUUUGUGCGGAUGGACCUGGUACAGCACCCUAUCCAGCCUGGCGAUACAGCACCCAACAGGGAGAGGAUCAAAGACACUCUUACUGGCCUGACCUGAGCGGAGUGGUUUUCUACCCUUGGCCUGGCUAGCAGCUACUGGCAGGUCAAGAUGGAUCCCCAAGACAGAGAAAACUGCCUUUACCACACCACUGGUCCUUACUGAUGACUUGGGUGAUAUUGUCAUCCACUCACCUGAUUACUCCUGUCACCUGCAGCAUUUAGAUAUAAGGUGUUCAAAAAGCUGUGGCAGCAUGGGUUGAAACUGCAGCUGCUAGGUGAAGUUCUUGGGCAUGUGCUGGACCAGAAUAAGACAUUGCUUUUAACCAAUACGGCAUGAGAGUGUAGCCACACAAACCAAUGCUGUGGCUGGGAGGAGGGAACAGACCUCCAUUACAAGGAAACAAAGACAGAGGCAAGCAACACAACACAAGAAUGACUGGAGAAGACGUCAGUGGGCUGGAGCGGUAUAAGAAAGAACAGGGUGAGAGUGCAACAGAUAAUGGAAGGAGAAAUGGG